GAUGAACGCUGGCGGCGUGCCUAAUACAUGCAAGCCGAGCGAACAGACGCGAGUGCUUGCACUCUCUGACGUUAGCGGCGGACGGGUGAGUAACACGUGGGUAACCUACCUAUAAGACAUGGAUAACUUCGGGAAACCCGAGCUACUACCGGAUACUACUUAGCUUUGCAUGAAGCAAUAGUGAAAGACGGUUCUGCUGUCAACUAUAGAUGGACCCGCGGUGUAUUAGAUAGUUGGUGUGGUAACGGGUCACCAAGGAAACGAUACAUAGCCGAGCUGAGUGGGUGAUCGGCCACACUAGGACGUGGACACGGACCAUGCGACUGCGGGAGGCAGCAGUAGGGUAUCGGCCGCAGAGGACGAAAGUCUGACGGAGCAAUGGCGCGUGAGUGAAGAAGGUUUUCGGAGCGUAAAACUCUGUUGUAAGUGAAGAACAAGUACGUUAGUAACUGAACGUACCUUGACGGUAACUGACCAGAAAGCCACGGCUAACUACGUG
rnacentral:rRNA from 1 species